rnacentral:rRNA from 1 species
CCUACGGGAGGCAGCAGUGAGGAAUAUUGGUCAAUGGCCGAGAGGCUGAACCAGCCAAGUCGCGUGAGGGAAGACGGCCCUAUGGGUUGUACACCUCUUUUGUCGGGGAGCAAAGCGAGUCACGUGUGACCCAUUUAGAGUAACCGAAGAAAAACCAUCGGCUAACCCCGUGCCAGCAGCCGCGGUAAUACGGAGGAUGCGAGCGUUAUCCGGAUUUAUUUGGUUUAAAGGGUGCGCAGGCGGAAGUGCAAGUCAGCGGUAAAAUUGCGGGGCUCAACCCCGUACUGCCGUUGAAACUGGAGCCCUUGAGUGCGCGAGAAGUAUGCGGAAUGCGUGGUGUAGCGGUGAAAUGCAUAGAUAUCACGCAGAACUCCGAUUGCGAAGGCAGCAUACCGGCGCGCAACUGACGCUCAUGCACGAAAGCGUGGGUAUCGAACAGGAUUAGAUACCCCUGUAGUC